rnacentral:rRNA from 1 species
UACGGGGGGAGCAAGCGUUGUUCGGAUUUACUGGGCGUAAAGGGCGCGUAGGCGGCUUGACAAGUCACUUGUGAAAUCUCCGGGCUUAACCCGGAGCGGCCAAGUGAUACUGUCGUGCUAGAGUGCGGAAGGGGCUACUGGAAUUCUCGGUGUAGCGGUGAAAUGCGUAGAUAUCGGGCGGAACACCAGCGGCGAAGGCGGCCUUCUGGACAGUGACUGACGCUGAGACGCGAAAGCGUGGGGAGCAAACAGG